AUGGGUCUGCAGGUGACACGUCCCGUUCCCGCGGGGCCGGUUCCGCACGGCUCCGGUGAGAUCCCCCCUCCGCACCGAGCACCGCGGACCCCCGGGACCGCUUCCCCUGCACCCCCCCCACACUCCGCACCGCGGACAUCGGGGACCGUCCCCCAUUCUGCUCUGGGCACCGCGGUACCCCCGGGUCCGGGGCCGCCCCCGCCGCUCUUACCCCGCUCCCGCCUCCUACAUCCUCCGGCGGCUCCCGGGCGGUUCCCCGACGGCCCGGCGCGGCCGCCCCCGGCCCGGCUGCUCCCGGCCCGGCUCGGUUGGGCUCGGCUGGUCCCGGCUCGGCCCGGGCCGGCGCCCCGCGCGUGGGAGCGCGGCGGGCGGCAGCAUGCGAGUGGCGGCGGCCCCGCAGUGCAGCGCGGGCGGGCGCGGAGCGGCGGGAGCGGAGCGGGGCCGCCGCGGCGCCGCCAAGACACGGCGGUGGAUUUUCCCCGGGAGCCAGAGCGGGCGGCGGCGGCGCAAAAUGGCUCCGGUGCGGCUCUGCCGCCGCCUCCCGGCGCCCCGGGACCCCCGGGGGGGGAGAGCGGGGGCAGCCGCACGUGGGGCCGGGGAGAUGCUGGCGGUGCGGGAUCUGCCGGGAUGAGUGGUACCCACCCGUGGGCAUCCCCUGAGGCACCCUGCGGAGCCGGACUGGCACCGAGAAAAGGGGUACCCACCCGUAGGCACCCCCCUGGAUCACCCCAGGGAGCUGAGGGCACUCCAGGACCGUCACCCAACCCUGUUCCCUGCCAGGGAGGGGGCAGAGUGCAGAGACAGUCCCGGGGUACUGAGAUAGUGCUGGCGUGUCGGGAUCAUCCAGAGCAGCCCUGGGGUGCCAGGAUAGCCCUGGGGUGCCAGGACAGCCCCAGACUGCCGGGACAGCCCCAGGGUGUCCAGCCCCAUGGGCUCAGCCUUCCCCCAACAGACCCAAGGCCACCCGCUGCCGCCUGCCCGCUGAGCCGCUCACACCACACCCUGUAA
rnacentral:lncRNA from 1 species